rnacentral:sRNA from 1 species
AGAUGAGGGGGUGAGCGGCUGGUUAGGCUGUGUCCCCUUCCUCUCUCACUGCACCCGGUAUCCUAUCUGAAGUAGUAUGCUGGGCUGAAGAGAACAACCUUUGGUGAAAGGUCAAAGCAGUUCUCAAUCUGUUGGCUGUGAUCCUUUGGGGGUUGAACGGCCCUUUCACAGGGGUCACCUAAGACCAUUGUAAAACACAGGUAUCUGCAUUACGAUUCAU